rnacentral:lncRNA from 1 species
CGUUCAUUCGUUCAUCUGUCACGCUUCAGUUUAAAGAUUUCUGUCAUGGUAGUUUUUGAUAAAGUUGAGGAUUCAAUCAACUUGAAACUUAGUACAAAUGGUAACUAUGAAAUGAUCUUUCUGAUUGUGAUGCCAACUUAGAGUUUUGACCCACAUUUCAUUGUCCACUGAACAUAGAAAAUGAUAGUGUGAGUGGGGCAUUCUUGUACUAUGCGCACCUUCUUGUUUGAUAAUUAGAAUUGAAUGGGGCAUCCUUGUACUUUGGACACAUUCUUGUUUGAUAAUUAGAAUUGAAUAGGGCAUCCUUGUACUUUGGACACAUUUUUGUUUGAUAAUUAGAAUUGAGUGGGGCAUCCUUGUACUAUGGACACAUUCUUGAUUGUUAAUUAGAAUUCUUUAUUGGUAUUGAUUUCAAAUUAAUUAUUUGACAAAAUGCAUGCCAUUGCCUGAUAGACAGUACAGUUGUUGCUAAAAGUAUUCAUAAUUUGCAUUUAACCUGUUAACCAACAGACUUUGUCGACUACUUAUGGAAUAAAAAGUUGGUGUGAGCAAAUCUACCAUUUUUUGGGGGAAAUAAAAAAUCUCCAUAUUAAAACCAUGUAUUUUUAUCAAUGAGUUGCCACAGUGAGCCUUUGUUAAGACCUGCUUGCCUGUUUUUGUUGUCAGUCUGUCUUCAUAAAUUAAAAAAAAAAUCGUCUGCAAUUACCUGG